AAUCAGAGACAGCGCAAUUACUAUUCGAAAUAAACAUCAAAGCAAGAGUUUCAUCUGUUCAAUAUCAAAAGUAGAAUAACUUAAAGAAGCUCGUAACAAAGGGAUAAAUACGGAGAAAUCGGACCUUUAUUGCUGAAAUGUUUCAGCAAUAACCAAGAGUUUCUUUAAAGUAUUGCUAUGGUUGGAGGUUAACAAAGCACGGUACAACAGUAGAGCAGCAGCAAAUUUUCAACCAUAGCAAUACUUUAAAACCCAAAAAAAAUAGAAACAAACAGCAGCGGCUCGUUCCUGAAAUUUCCUCUCAUUUUAGCAAUGGUUUCGGGAUUGAUUUUGCACUUAUUGUGAAGCUGUCUUGCUGAGUGUUUCAGGUGGUUUUAAGGUGGUUUUUGGACUGUUUUUGGUGCUAUAUGGUGGCUGAUUUGAGCUGUUUUUCGUAGCUAGUUUUUGAGGAAAAAUACCCGAUAAAGAAGAGCUAAAACAUGGCCAGCCUCUAUCAAGUUAUGGCAUUGUUGCUGCGUUUUCUUGCCCUUCCCCGUUCCCUCUGUUAUUCGCUCAUCUCCUCAUCCCUGUUUUCCUCGUUCUCCCCUUUUUUCUUUUGUGUGUAUUGUAUGUGUUAUUUAAGAAUGAGUGGGAGUGGGUGAGGAACAUGAGUGGAGAGAGUGAGAACUUGAGUGGGCAAAGUGAGGGAAAUGGGAAUUAAGUGGAGAAAGUAGAGGAAGUGGGAAGUGAGUGAGAAAAGUGAGAAUAAAUUAAUAUGAUAAAAAAUUAACUGCUCACAACAUCGAACCGUCAUUUGAGAUCUAUAAAUACCACCUCUCCAAUUGAUUUCAAACUUUGCUUUAAACUUCUCAUUUGCUUUGAUUGAAUCUUCCAACCUUCAAACUUUUCUUGCCUUCUUCAUAUCUCCACCAGUCUUACCCCUACUUUCUACCUCUUUCACUUAUAUAUAUAUAUGGAUACGACUUCUAAAACAGUGCGCAAGAGGAAAAAGCCUCUUCUUCGAAGCCAGACGAUGACAAGACGCCGAUGGAGCCACACGUAGAGGUGUGUGUUCCUAGGACGUGUAAACUAACUUCUGAGUUCAAAGUGGACAGGGCCCCUUCAGUUCCCGGUCGGUGUGAGCCCGUGUGCCGUUACAUUUGCUCGAUAUCUGAAGGUGGUCUUGAGCAAGUGAAAAAGGACUGCAAUUGGAGUAACAAAGAGGUGGUGAUUCCUUCACCAGAGGAGGAUAUCACCACUUAUGUAAAAGGGUUUUUGAGUGUUUACACUUACCCUUUCACAUUGGGGCCAGUGGAUCCGGUUAUACUCGAUUUCUGCCGCCAAUGUCGAGUGACCCUGGGGCAAGUCCACCUUUCGUUCUGGCGCAUCGUGAUCCUGCUCAGAUUCUUUUCGAGCAAGGUCGAGGGGAUGUCAUUCACUAUCGACCAUCUAAUAAGGUUGUACAGCCCUCGGCUCUACAGAGGUGGUUUGAUAAAGCUCCAGCGCCGGGCUACGAAAAUAGUGUUCUUGAGCAUAGAUGAAGACAAGGAUCGGGGCUAGAUGGGUUGGUUCAUCCGAUUUCGAACCUCUGACUUGAUUUCUGCCGAGAAGAUGUCAUUCCUCGAGGAAUGGAAUAUGAAACAUAAGUCUGAUUUUCGUUGUUGAUGUUUGAUUUCUUGUUUGAUUGAUUUCUCUCCCCGGUCUAAGUUCCAUUUCGUGGUGCAGCUUCUGCUUGGUUCCCCGGUGCGAUCCUGGAUCUCGAAGGUUGGGUUCGCCAACUAGCCUCCACCUCUUCAUACUCCGAGCGUUGCUGGCGAGAUUUGGCCAACAGUCAAUGAGAAGCAAAGAACCAUGGCCUCGGAGAGAAUGUAACCAUGAAGCCACCUCCGCCAGGUGAAAAGGGGGUUCCACAGCCGCCCAAGGAGAAGAAACCACGAAGGGCCUCGACCCUUGGUACGCCGAAGCUCUUCCCGAAAAUCGAAGAUUGAUACCGUGGCUUUGCCUGCCGAUGUGGCUCAAAGACUUCGGGAAGAUGACGAGGCAACACAAAGUGAUGAUGACAGCAUUUUGAUAGCUCCUAGGGAGGGGAGCACUGCAACUUCUGAGGUUGCCGAUCCGACAAUGAAUGAGUCCGCUCGAUCUCAUGUUGGGGGAAUCUCGGAGGGAGAUGCGAGCGGAGUCUCCGAGCCAUCGAGCGAUAAGGGUGCUCCUCGCUGCGCCAAAAGAUCGGCGGAUGUUCCCGAAGGGUCUAGCUCCGAGGCCCUUAGAAGAAAGGAGAAUGCCCCGAGCGACUUGCUUAAGGAAAUAAAUAUAGACGAUUCACCGCCCGGUCUUUCAUUUUCUGAGGGGCAAUUCCGAGACGCUCGGGCUAUGAGAACUCCUGAUGCGGAGCUAGCCCAUGGAGAGAGUGACAUAUUUUGAGAGUGCUUCGACGGGGUCGAAGAUGAUUCCGAGCCAGAUGCGUCGCUUGUUUUUAACGAAGCUCAGCGUCUCUUGAAACGGGCUUUGGUGCUUCAUUGAGAGGCAUCUUUCAAAUAUCGGGCGGAGUUGACCCGAUGUAAAGCCGAGCUCAAAAAGCUCGUAAAGGAGAGGGAUGACCUGAAACUCCUUCAAAAGGAGGAGGAGAUUGCGACCAUUCGAGCUGAACUUAUGAGAGCUCGUCAAGAUCAUACUGAGCUUAUCAAGAAGUUUCAGCAGAAGGGCGAACUGGUGCUGCAGCUUCAAGAAGAGGCCAAGAUGAAGGAGGCUGAAACUCUAGGGUGGAGGCAGCACAUGGAGCGUCUUGCCUCGGAGAAGGAUUUACUUCGAGCCCAGUUAACUUCAGCUGAGCGCCAGCUCUAGGGUGCGAAGGAGGAAAGUCUAUCUCGAGCCCUGAGUACCUCGACCGUCAGUUCGACCCUCUCUGCGUACUCUUCCAUCAGGGUCCCCGCCUAAGUCCACAUUCAGAGCAAUAUGCAAACCGACACCGACUGGGUUGAUGGGUGGUGCUCCUCCGAGGUCAGCUUGUGGCACCUCAAUUCCUGGAGCUAUAAUAUUCUCGUUCUCUCCGUGGAGUCCGAGACUGUUGUCAUCAUGAGUAGCUGUGUUUUGUGAGUUUGACAUGAUUUACCCCGAAAACAAAAUUCUUGACAAGAAACAAGCGUAAAAUAGUGUGUUAUAUCAGAACUAACACUGAACAAUCACUAUUAUCCUUAGCCCCACGGUGGGCGCCAAACUAUUUACAUUGAAAUAUGAGUAACAAUUAAACUUAUAAUGUGGUUAUAAGGAUACGCG